rnacentral:rRNA from 1 species
AUUGAACGCUGGCGGCAUGCCUUACACAUGCAAGUCGAACGGUAACAGGUCUUCGGAUGCUGACGAGUGGCGAACGGGUGAGUAAUACAUCGGAACGUGCCUAGUAGUGGGGGAUAACUACUCGAAAGAGUGGCUAAUACCGCAUGAGAUCUACGGAUGAAAGCAGGGGAUCGCAAGACCUUGUGCUACUAGAGCGGCCGAUGGCAGAUUAGGUAGUUGGUGGGAUAAAAGCUUACCAAGCCGACGAUCUGUAGCUGGUCUGAGAGGACGAUCAGCCACACUGGGAGUGAGAAAAGGCCCAGACUCGUACGGGAGGCAGCAGUGGGGAAUUUUGGACAAUGGGCGCAAGCCUGAUCCAGCAAUGCCGCGUGCAGGAUGAAGGCCUUCGGGUUGUAAACUGCUUUUGUACGGAACGAAAAGCCCCGGGUUAAUACCCUGGGGUCAUGACGGUACCGUAAGAAUAAGCACCGGCUAACUACGUGCCAGCAGCCGCGGUAA